UACGUAGGGGGCAAGCGUUAUCCGGAUUUACUGGGUGUAAAGGGAGCGUAGACGGUAUGACAAGUCUGAAGUGAAAGGCGGGGGCUCAACCCCUGGACUGCUUUGGAAACUGCCAAACUAGAGUGCUGGAGAGGUAAGUGGAAUUCCUAGUGUAGCGGUGAAAUGCGUAGAUAUUAGGAGGAACACCAGUGGCGAAGGCGGCUUACUGGACAGUAACUGACGUUGAGGCUCGAAAGCGUGGGGAGCAAACAGG
rnacentral:rRNA from 1 species